ensembl:snRNA U6 U6 spliceosomal RNA
AUGCUAGCUUCAGCAGCAUAUAUACUAAAAUUGGAAUUAUACAGAGAAGAUUAGCAUGGCCCCUGCACAAGGAUGACAUGCAAAUUCAUGAAGUGUUCCAUAUAUUU